rnacentral:rRNA from 1 species
UACGUAGGGUGCAAGCGUUGUCCGGAAUUAUUGGGCGUAAAGAGCUCGUAGGCGGUCUGUCGCGUCGGCUGUGAAAACCCGGGGCUCAACCCCGGGCCUGCAGUCGAUACGGGCAGACUAGAGUGUGGUAGGGGAGACUGGAAUUCCUGGUGUAGCGGUGAAAUGCGCAGAUAUCAGGAGGAACACCGGUGGCGAAGGCGGUUCUCUAGUACGGUACUGACGCUGAGACGCGAAAGCGUGGGGAGCGAACAGG